rnacentral:rRNA from 1 species
UACGAGAGGUGGCAAGUUUAUAGCGUGAGGAGUAGGCAGUGCAAAGUGUAGACGUCGAUAUUAGUUAGUGUGAGAUUUUUGAUAUUGAAGUUUAGUUUUAUUCCUAGUACAGCAGUUAAAUGCGUCUAGUUUAGGUAGGACAGCCAUUGGCUAAAGCAACUUUACAUACAUUCAACUUAAGUUCAAAACUUUGUAAGUCCAGGGUAU